rnacentral:rRNA from 1 species
GUGCCAGCCGCCGCGGUAAUACGUAGGUGGCGAGCGUUAUCCGGAAUGAUUGGGCGUAAAGGGUGCGUAGGCGGCCUGUUAAGUCUGAAGUGAAAGGUACCGGCUCAACCGGUACAGGCUUUGGAAACUGGCAGGCUGGAGGACAGGAGAGGGCGGUGGAACUCCAUGUGUAGCGGUAAAAUGCGUAGAUAUAUGGAAGAACACCAGUGGCGAAGGCGGCCGCCUGGCCUGUUACUGACGCUGAGGCACGAAAGCGUGGGGAGCAAAUAGGAUUAGAUACCCUAGUAGUCCACGCCGUAAACGAUGAGGACCAAGUGUUGGGGAAGACCCAGUGCUGCAGUUAACGCAGUGAGUCCUCCGCCUGGGGAGUAUGCACGCAAGUGUGAA